rnacentral:rRNA from 1 species
CUACCAAAGGCAUAGCUGGGUAGCCAAGUCCGGAAGGGAUAAACGCUGAAGGCAUCUAAGCGUGAAGCCCCCCUCAAGAUGAGAUAUCCCGUCCUUUAAGGACAUAAGAUCCCUUAUAGAGUAUGAGGUAGAUAGGGCAAAGGUGGAAGCGUAGUAAUACGUGUAGCUGAUUGUUACUAAUCGAUCGAAGGCUUGACCA